UACAGAGGUCCCAAGCGUUGUUCGGAUUCACUGGGCGUAAAGGGUGCGUAGGCGGUUGGGUAAGUCUGAUGUGAAAUCUCCGAGCCUAACUCGGAAACUGCAUCGGAUACUAUUCGACUAGAGGAUUGGAAGGGAGACUGGAAUUCCUGGUGUAGCGGUGGAAUGCGCAGAUAUCAGGAAGAACACCCGUGGCGAAGGCGGUUCUCUGGGACGGUACUGACGCUGAGACGCGAAAGCGUGGGGAGCGAACAGG
rnacentral:rRNA from 1 species